rnacentral:rRNA from 1 species
UACGUAGGCAGCGAGCGUUGUUCGGAGUUACUGGGCGUAAAGGGUGUGUAGGCGGUUGUUUAAGUUGGUGUGAAAUCUCCCGGCUCAACUGGGAGGGUGCGCCGAAUACUGAAUGACUUGGAGUGCGGGAGAGGAAAGUGGAAUUCCUGGUGUAGCGGUGAAAUGCGUAGAUAUCAGGAGGAACACCGGUGGUGUAGACGGCUUCUGGACCGUAACUGACGCUGAGACACGAAAGCGUGGGUAGCAAACAGG